CAUGGCCUNUUCNUCAGCUCGUUUUCGUGAGAUGUUGGGUUAAGUCCCGCAANCGAGCGCAACCCUUGCCAUUAGUUGNUACGAAAGGGCCACUNUAAUGGGGACUGCCGGUGACAAACCGGAAGGAAGGGUGGGGAUGACGUNCAAGUNCUUCAUGGCCCUUAUAGGUGGGGCUACACACGUCAUACAAUGGCUGGUACAAAGGGUUGCCAACCCGCGAGGGGGAGCUAAUCCCAUAAAGCCAGUCGUAGUCCGGAUCGCAGUCUGCAACUCGACUGCGUGAAGUCGGAAUCGCUAGUAAUCGUGGAUCAGAAUGUCACGGUGAAUACGUUCCCGGGUCUUGUACACACCGCCCGUCACACCAUGGGAGCGGGUCUCGCCAGAAGUAGGUAGCCUAACCGUAAGGAGGGCGCUUACCACGGCGGGGUUCGUGACUGGGGUGAAGUCGUAACAAGGUAACCGUA
rnacentral:rRNA from 1 species